rnacentral:rRNA from 1 species
UGGUGGAGUGAUUUGUCUGGUUAAUUCCGUUAACGAACGAGACCUCGACCUGCUAAAUAGUCUUUCUAACCCCUCGGGGUUGGGCGAUGACUUCUUAGAGGGACUAUCGGUGUCUAGCCGAUGGAAGUUCGAGGCAAUAACA